UAGGAAUUUUCCCCUUAUUUUUGUACUUUAGAGAUUUAUUGGACCUCAUUUCUCCUUCAUCAUUUCUGAAAAUGUUUAGCCCAUUCGACCGUCAUUUUGACUUGAGCUUUGGUUAAGAGGCAGCCAUGCCUCAUCAAGACAACAUAUGGCGCCCAUCCUUCUUAUCCCCUACUAGUCCUCUUACCGUUGGAGACUCUGUGAUGAAGAAUGAUAUGACCGCUGCGGUGGUGGCCAGGAACCUUAUCACUCCCAAAGAUAACAGACUACUUUCCAAACGGUCUAAUGAGUUGGCUGUUAAGGAUUCUCUGGCUCUCAGUGUUCAGUGUGCAAGUUCUAUGUCUAAUAUGGCCCAACGCUUAUUUGCUCGAACCCGCCAAGUUGAAUCAUUGGCGGCUGAUAGGAGCAUAUUUAUUCGACUUUGUUAGCUUGUUCUUAUGCAUUUGUGUUGUUAUUUCUUAGUUAAUUAUGUAUUUUAAGCUAUUUUCGUGUGUUUAUAGGUCAUAAUAACAAAGUUGGCAAGAAAGUGCAUUUUGGAGCAUUUUAGAGCAUUUUUGAGCCAAGAUUGGAUAAUGCAAGCAUGCAGACAUGAGGAUGGAUGUUUUUGAAGAUUUGAGGGCUAGAAAUCAACAUGUGUGUGUUCAAGUGUGUUGACCUACAACUCCAAACAUCCAUCCACUACACGCAUUACAUCCACUCAUUACCAAACAUCCACCCACUACGCCCAUUACAUCCAGUCAUUACCAAACAUCCACCCACUACACCCAUUACAUCCACUCAUUACCACAACACUCACCCACUACACCCAUUACAUCCACUCAUUACAAACAUUCAUCCACUACACCCAUUACAUCCACUCAUUACCACAACAUUCACCCACUACACCCAUUACAUCCACUCAUUACAACUCCAUACACUCCUCUCCCUAGCCUAUAAAUACAUCCACCCUUCACCAUAAUUUGGGGGCCAUCAUCCAAGGACACCACAUCAUCUACACAACUCUCCACCCUUCACCAUAACUCACCUAUAUCCAUCCACCACCACAAGAGACCAUCCAUUCACCACUCAUACCUUGGUGCCGCAUAUUUGCAAGGAAUGAGGAUUGCUUGGAGUUGUGCUAGUCAUUCAAAUUGGAUUGCUGGAGCAUUCUAGGUGUAUUCUACUUUGCUUUUCAAUGUUUAAUUUCAAUUGUUUCUGUUUAAUUGCAAGUAUGAGGAACUAAACCUCUUUUGGCUAGAGGAGAGUUCGAAACCAUGAAUAUAUUUGCAAUAUGAAUUGAUUUCUUCCAAUUGUGACUUGAUAAGUUGUGAUUGCAAUUCAAUUAUCUAUUUUAUUCAUAACGGAUUUGUGUAUGUUUAUUAAGGAUGCAUACUUAGUUUUCAUGCAUGAAUUUGAUGCUAGGAUAUAAAUAAGUUUCACCUAAUCAUUACAAGUUUAUAUUCAUGAGUAGUGAAGGUUGCUUGUCACAAUCGCGUUAAUUGAAUUCUUGGCAAACGUAUCAUGCAUUCAUAGUUACAAUUGCCUCAUCAACGCUUAUGAUUUUCAUGGAACUUAAUGAUCUUUAAUUGUAUCUCUAUUAUGCAUUCAUAUAGGGAACUUUUAGAGAAUGAUUUGGGUUGUCGCAUGCAUUCAUCCAAUUCAAUGAGUAAAG
rnacentral:lncRNA from 1 species